rnacentral:lncRNA from 1 species
AGCAAAUGAAGCAAGAAGUAAAGACAAUGUUCCGGUCAUCAGAGCAUCCUUUUAUACGGUGUCAAUAUAUGAUGCCAAGAAGUCCUCACGUCCUGCUGGAAUUGAAUCCUGCCCAAAUAAGGCCUAAUUCCAGGACAUGUGCAGACUGGAAAUCUUUGAAUCCCUCCAACUCUGCAAAUAGAAUGCAGCUUUUACAGACACCUGAAGUUCCCACUGCAGUGGACUUCUUCUCAGAAGACCCAUUGGAGUCAGCAUCCCUGCAGAGCAACAGACCUCAGGAUAAAAAAGCAAAAGAGAAUCAAACACAUAUGCCUGAAUUGACAAAAAACUCCUUCAGGGGCAUCAUGAGGAAUACAGUUCUUACUCCUAUUGCAGUGAAAAUACCACCUGAUGAGAAAGAAGCCAGUGAGGAAGUGGAACUGCAGCAGCUAGUGAUGAAACUAAAGGAUUCAGUGUCUCUCCAAGCCCAACCAGCUCAACAGUCUGCUUUGCAGCAGGAAUUCUUCUCUACAGCUGAACGUGUUAGCAGAUCCUUUUCUGACCUCAUCAACCAAGUGACUUCACCAGCUUGUAAAUGAUGGAAACUACCACUUGCCCUUACAGCUCCACUGAACUAUUGAAGGUAAUUGAUGCCCUAUCAGACUUUUAAAAGUGUCUCAGAUGUUUUGCUGUAAUAACCCAGCAUAACAGACUCCUGCAUUUACUGACUUCACCAGAGACCAUAGUGUUAGAGAACAAUAUUCCUAACACUAUUGGUGGUUUCUGUUGGUGGCUUCCAGCUCCUGUGCAGUAGAUGUUAGCCCAG